AGCACCUGAGGAAACAGGAAGUGAGGAGGAGUCACACCUUUGGAGCCAAUAGGUAAACAGAUAUAAAUUAUGGCCAAAAAUCUCAUCACAGUGUAAUAUUUUACUAUCGUUCGAUAUCGAUAUUUAUUUGAGGCUUCUUCCUGACUGCGCUGAGAAAAGACAGAAGCUUUGGAGCUUUGAAAACAGUGACACCUGGUGGUUUGCAGAAAUUACAGCAGCCAUUGAAGAACAUGCACAGCGUCUCAUGCAAUGUCAGUUGAAGAACGUGCAGUAAGAGCACCUCCAAAUGAACUUAUUAACGAGCUGCAUGCUGUAUGUGUUUCCUUCAUUAUGUUUCUUUAGACAAGCCCCAGUUCCAAAACCGUUGGGACGGUGUGUAAAAUGGCAAUUAAAAACAGUAAUCAGUAAAUUCAGUUGGACCUGCAUUCCAUUAGAAACAAUAUUCAGUGUUUAACUUUAUGAGCUUCACAGUUUUUUCUAAAUAUAUGCUCAUUCCAAAUAUGAUGCCUGUAACAGGUUCCAAAAAGUUGUUACAGGAUCAUGUUUACACUGAGCUACAUCACCUUUCCUUUAACAGCACUUAAUAGUCGUCUGGGGACUGAAGACCAAACUGAUCCAGCUUUGAAAGCCAUUCUUCUAUUAAACAAGUCUUCAGCUGUGUAAACAGGGCCUUUGUUGUCGUAUUUUGAACUUAAUAAGAUACACGUUUUCAGUGUGAGGCAGUUCUGGACUGCAGGCAGGUCAGUCUAGAACCCGCGCUCUCUGUUUACGCAGCCGUGCAGCUGUAACAGGUGCAGAACGUUUCUUGGUGUGUCAUGUUGAAAUAAUAAUGGACGUCCCUGAAAAAGACGGCGUCUAAAAGGCAGCAUGUUGCUCCAAACUGUGUUAAGUGCUAAUGGAGUUUUCACAGAUGUGCAGAUUACCCACUAUUACCCCGCCCCCAGUACCACGACAGGUUACCCACUAGUACCUCCCACUAGUACCUUGACAGACGCUGGAUUUAGAACUUUACACUGGUAACAAUCUGGAUGGUUCUUCUCUUCUUUGACCCGGAGAACACAACAUCCAUUAUUUCCAUAAACACUCUGACAGUUGGACUCGUCAGACCACAAUACAUGUUUCCACUGAGCCUGUGUGAUGAUCUCCAUCACAGAAGCAUGUCGUUUUUUUAACGCAGUGAUGUCCAAAGGGUCGAAGGUCAUUCGUAGUUUUCAGCCUUGUUCUUCACGCACAGAAAUUUGUCCAGAUUUCCUGAAUCUCUUGAAUAUAUUUUGUAUUGUAGAGGGUGAAAUACAUUAAAUCCUCAAUCACUUGUUGAGGAACGCUGUUCUCAAAUUGGAGUUUUUGGAAAAUAUUUUCUUCGGUUUUUUGGAAAAGAGAGAGUCUCAAUCCACCCUCGCUCAUAAAGGACUUAUAACCGAGCAGGAUUACAUCACCUGAUUGAGUUUUUUCAAUACUUUGCUCGUCUUAAAUUGCUCCUGUCCCAACUUUUUUGGAACGUGCUGCAGAAAUCAAUUGCAGACUGAGUGCAUGUCUAGAAAAAAGCAACGAAUUUAGAUAAAACAAUGAAUGAGGUUUAAGAUGAAUAAAUAAAUCAUUAAAUAUCUUUGUACUGUUUGUGUUUAAAUACAGUCCAACGUAGAUUUCAGUUUUUAUUUACAUUUGUACUUAUGUUUUAUGUGUUUGUGUUAAUUUAGAGUGUAAAUGUGCUGCAGUAAAACACCUCUCUGUGGUUUCACUCCGCUCUCUACAGCCUGGAGGACAUGAGCUCCAAACUUUAACCAUCCCUGCUGCUGAUUGGGUGACAUCUGAAGCUUUAGAGCUGAUCUGAUAUGAGCAGAAGUCUGCUUUGAAAUAAAGAAAUCAGCAGCACUCACUGGACCCUGCACUGCCCCCCUGCUGCACACUGGGUAAUGAAGUUCACUUGUGGAUGGAGAAGCAGAGUUGCACUGGACAGAGCCCACACCCUCGAAUAAAAACCUGAAAAACAAUCACUUUAUCAUUACAGCCCACAGCAUUCCCCACUACUAGAUCUGAAGGUGAACAUUAAUCAGCAUCGGUUUUGGAAUUUUAGAAUCAAUUCUAAUAAAUCAUAACAUUCAGUAAAAGUAUGCGCUCCACCAUAAGAUGCUCAGACUAUUUUCACAUGUAAAGAAAGCUUAAUGUAUUGUUUUUAUGGUCUUUAUUCCACUACUGUUGGAAUAUUAGUUGGUCAUUAUAUUUGUGUAUGCAGCGUAUUUUUAGAAAUAAUUGAGACAUACAAACAUUUUCAGUUGAAUCAAACUGAACUGUGCUGAAAUUUGAAGUUUCAUGAUGCACUAAAUCAGAAUAAAAUCAGAUAAUCAGAGACUGACAGCCAGAAAAUAAAGAGUUUGAAGCACUUUGCCGCUGGUUCUGACCUGCGUGUGAGGCUGUUGUUGUUUGUGUUGUUGUUUGUGUUGUAGUUGUUUGCGUAGCUGAGGUAAGAUGGUGAAGCCUCAGUCUCCUCCGUCCUGCUGUCGGCUACAUGCAGGGGGCGCUGGGAGGUCACCUGAGUGGGCAGAGGGGUUCCCCGCUGGAGACUGAAGGGGUCGACAUGGUUCCCAAACAGACCGCCCGCACGCUGAUGGCAUCCUCUGCGGCCUCGUCCAUGGCCCGGUCCAUCUCCUCCUCAUUCAGCAGGUCACCCGAUAUCGCCCUCUGCAGUUCCGGAGCCGCCUCAUCCUCGAUACUCCUUAGCCCAGCCUGCAGGAGGAGAGAGAGAUUAAAGAGGUCUGCCUGCUAUCAGUGCUGUGAAGAAGAAGACUCUGUGUUUUUCUACCUGAAUCUCGUUGGUGGUUUUGUUUUUGGCCGGCCGGUAGCCGUAAUACUCCUCCUGCCGCUUCAUAAACUUCCUGAAGUGCUCCUGGAUCAGGAAUGUGGCAUAGAACUUCCCCACGGUCACCUCGUCAUCUGAAACACGAGGAUAUGUGAGAUACAGAAUCCUUAUGUAUCCCUAAGUGGUGUCAAAGUUAAAGCAUUAACAAACUAAAUUAAUAAAGCUCCAUGUUUUCUCUCUCAGUAGGUCAAUGUUGCUCUUGUGGGUUACAGUAUUCAUGUAGAAAGUAUGUCCUGUAAAUAACUUUCCAAUGUCCAAUA